CAGAGGGUGCGAGCGUUAAUCGGAAUUACUGGGCGUAAAGCGCGCGUAGGCGGCUUUGCAAGUCGGGUGUGAAAUCCCCAGGCUUAACCUGGGAACUGCAUUCGAGACUGCGUUGCUAGAGUAUGGGAGAGGGAAGUGGAAUUUCCGGUGUAGCGGUGAAAUGCGUAGAUAUCGGAAGGAACAUCAGUGGCGAAAGCGACUUCCUGGACCAAUACUGACGCUCAUGUGCGAAAGCGUGGGGAGCAAACAGGAUUAGAUACCCUGGUAGUCCACGCCAUAAACGAUGAGAACUGGAUGUCGGGAGGGUCUGCCUCUCGGUGUCGUAGCUAACGCGUUAAGUUCUCCGCCUGGGGAGUACGGCCGCAAGGUUG
rnacentral:rRNA from 1 species